rnacentral:rRNA from 1 species
GACGAACGCUGGCGGCGUGCUUAACACAUGCAAGUCGAGCGGUAAGGCCCUUUCGGGGGUACACGAGCGGCGAACGGGUGAGUAACACGUGGGUGACCUGCCCUCAGCUCUGGGAUAAGCCCGGGAAACUGGGUCUAAUACCGGAUAUGACUUCAUGACGCAUGUUGUGGAGUGGAAAGCCUUGUGCGGCUGAGGAUGGGCCCGCGGCCUAUCAGCUUGUUGGUGGGGUGANGGCCUACCAAGGCGACGACGGGUAGCCGGCCUGAGAGGGCGACCGGCCACACUGGGACUGAGAUACGGCCCAGACUCCUACGGGAGGCAGCAGUGGGGAAUCUUGCGCAAUGGGCGAAAGCCUGACGCAGCGACGCCGCGUGA